rnacentral:rRNA from 1 species
AACGAACGCUGGCGGCGUGCCUAACACAUGCAAGUCGAACGAGAAAGGGGCUUCGGCUCCGAGUAAAGUGGCGCACGGGUGAGUAACACGUGGGUAACCUGCCUCUAAGAUUGGGAUAACUCGUCGAAAGAUGAGCUAAUACCGAAUAAGACCACAGUUCCCGCGGGAACAGGGGUCAAAGGUAGCCUCUGCUUGCAAGCUAUCACUUAGAGAUGGGCCUGCGCACCAUUAGCUAGUUGGUAGGGUAACGGCCUACCAAGGCAAAGAUGGUUAGCUGGUCUGAGAGGAUGGUCAGCCACACUGGAACUGAGACACGGUCCAGACUCCUACGGGAGGCAGCAGUGGGGAAUAUUGCGCAAUGGGCGAAAGCUUGACGCAGCAACGCCGCGUGGGUGAUGAAGGCCUUCGGGUCGUAAAGCUCUGUCGGGAGGAACGAAUGCUCCUGAGGUUAACAGCCUCGGGAGGUGACGGUACCUUCAAAGGAAGCACCGGCUAACUCUGUG